UGUAUGGAUCUCUCUGAAAUUAUACUACCAGUUUCCAUACCACAAAGGGAUGGUUAGGAUUUGCUUUGGGGGGUUAUGGCUCAAACCGUUUAGGAAUUAGGGGCAAAAAAGGGGGAAAAACAAGGUUGUCCUGGUUAAUGGACAAAUACUUUAGUACAAAACAUAAUUUAAAGCAGUGUAAGGGAGAUAAAUCAAAUACAUCAUUGAAAUUAUCUCCCUUACACUGUUAUUAAAUUAUGUAUAAAGUAAUGGUUAAUGAACAAUAAAGAUAAUUUAAAACAGUGUAAGGGAGGUAAUCCAAAUACAACGUUUUGGUUACUUCCCUUACACUGCUUUUAAAUUAUGUUUAAAGAAAUGCAUAUUUAUAAAGGAAGACCAGUAAAAAUAUCUGCAAAUGUUGCAUCUUUUUUUUUACAAAAAAAUCCAUAUGAAAGAUUUGACACUAUAUUUUUAAUUCUAUUAUAAAAUAGAUUAAGUUAGCACUAUGGUAAAUUUAAAUGGGUAAUUAUGGUUGCCAACUCCAUUGGAAAUUUGAAUUGAGAUUUUGACCAUAUCUUGAGGGAAAGAAUUUUUUGGGGGAAAAAAGGGGGGGGGGGAUAAAAAGAAAUUGUGGGGGGUCAAUUUUUUCUCAUUUCAGAUUUCAGAAAUUAAAAAGAAUUAUUCUUCAAAUAUUAUUUUUUUUUCAAAUUUCAAAUAUUGAAAAAUUUCAAGAAGUAAUCUUUAAUUGCACAGUAUGGCGCAUUAGAUUUGUAAAAUCUUUGAUCACAUUUAUUUAUUUGUUAUGCCGAAUCUAACAGUGUAUUUAGAUUUUUAAUUUUGGGUCCAGUUUUCAAAUUGGUCUACAUUAAGGUCCAAAGGGUCCAAAAUUAAACUUUGUUUGAUUUUAGCAAAAAUUGAAUAUAUGAGGUUCUUUGAUAUGCUGAAUCUAAACAUGUAUUUAGAUUUUUGAUUUUUGGCCCAGUUUUCAAGUUGGUCCAAAUUGGGGUCCAAAAUUAAACUUUGUUUGAUUUCAACAAAAAUUGAAUAUAUGGGGUUCUUUGAUAUGCUGAAUCUAACCAUGUAUUUAGAUUUUUUAAUUGUGGACCCCGUUAUCAAAUUGGUUCAUAUUGAGGUCAAAAGGGUCCAAAAUUAAACUUUGUUUGAUUUCAUCUAAAAUUGAAUUAUUAGGGUUCUUUGAUAUUCCAAAUCUAACCGUGUAUUUAGAUUUUUAAUUUUGGGUCCUGUUUUUUAAAUUGGUCUACAUUAAGGUCCAAAGGGUCCAAAAUUAAACUUAGUUUGAUUUUAACAAAAAUUGAAUUCUUGGGGUUCUUUGAUAUGCUGGAUCUAAACAUGUGUUUAGAUUUUUGAUUAUGGGCCCAGUUUUCAAGUUGGUUCAAGUUGGGGUCCAAAAUUAAACUUUUUUUGAUUUCAACAAAAAUUGAAUAUAUGGGGUUCUUUGAUAUGCUGAAUCUAACCAUGAAUUUAGAUUUUUUAUUUGUGGGCCCCGCUAUCAAAUUGGUUCAUAUUGAGGUCAAAAGGGUCCAAAAUUAAACUUUGUUUGAUUUCAUCAAAAAUUGAAUUAUUGGGGUUCUUUGAUAUUCCAAAUCUAACCGUGUAUUUAGAUUUUUAAUUUUAAGUCCCGUUUUUAUACGACCGCAAAAAUUGAAAAUUUUUUGGUCGUAUAUUGGUAUGACGUUGGCGUCGUCGUCGUCGUCGUCGUCGUCGUCGUCGUCGUCUGGCGUCGUCCGGCGUCGUCCGAAGACGCAUUGGUUUUCGCACUCUAACUUUAGUUUAAGUGAAUGGAUCUCCAUUAAAUUUUACCAUAAGGUUCAAUACCACGAAAGGAAGGUGGGGAUUGAUUUUGGGGGUUAUGGUACCAACAGUUAAGGAAUUAGGGGCCAAAAAGGGGCCAAAAAUAAGCAUUUUUGUAACUUCCAGACAAUAACUUGUGUGUAAGUGUAUGGAUCUCUCUGACAUUGUACCACAAGGUUCCAUAUCACAAAGGGAAGGCUGUAAUUGAUUUUGGGGGUAAUUGCCUCAAAAUUUUAGGAAUUAGGGGCCAAAAAAGGGGCAAAAAACAAGCAUUUUUCUAGUUUCAUGACAAUAACUUGUGUGUAAGUGUUUGGAUAUUUCUGAAAUUGUACUACAAGGUUCCAUAUCACAAAGGGAAAGCUGGAAUUGAUUUUGGGGGUAAUUGCCCGAAACGUUUAGGAAUUGGGGGCCAAAAAGGGGCCAAAAAUAAGCAUUUUUCUAGUUUCAUGACAAUAACUUGUGUUCAAGUGUAUGGAUCUCUCUGAAAUUGUACUGCAAGGUACCAUACCACAAAGGGAAGGCUGGGAUUGAGUUUGGGGGUGAUGAAUCAUAAGGGGGUUCAAAAAAUUGGGGGGGGGGAUUUUUUUUUUUCUUUUUUUUUCUUUUUUUCCUUUUUUUUUUCUUUUAAAAUUUUCCAUUUUAAGUUGGUUAUUUCUGAUUAAUAUUUAAAAGCAAAUAAUAAUGAUAUGGUAGGAGAAACACACCAAACAGGAUGUGUAAAUUAUUAUAUAAUAAGUAUUGUGCAAUAGCAAGAAAUUUUCAAUUGCACAGUAUUGCACAAUUGCAAGAAAUCUUCAAUUGCACAGUAUUGCGCAAUAGCAAGAAAUCUUCAAUUGCACAGUAUUGCGCAAUAACAAGAAAUAUCCAAUAGCACAAUAUUGCGCAAUAGCAAGAAAUUGUCAAUUGUACAGUAUUGCACAAUAGCAAGAAAUAUUCAAUUGCACAGUACAUUGUAUUGUGCAAAAGAAGAUACUUCGUAUAAAUUGCUUAUUUCUUGAUCAAUUUCAAUGGGGUUUUAUUCUUGAAUUCUUGGGGUUCUUUAAUAUGCUGAAUCUAACCGUGUAUUAAGUUUUUGGAUUUUGGGCCCCGUUUUUAAAUUGGUCCACAUUGAGGUCCAAAGGGUCCAAAAUUUAACUUUGUUUGAUUUCAUCAAAAAUUGAAUUAUUGGGGUUCUUUGAUAUGCCGAAUCUAACCGUGUAUUUAGAUUCUUAAUUUUUGGUUCCGUUUUCAAAUUGGUCUACAUUAAGGUCAAAAGGGUCCAAAAUUAAACUUAGUUUGAUUUUAACAAAAAUUGAAUUUUUAGGGUUCUUUGAUAUGCUGAAUCUAAACAUGUAUUUAGAUUUUUGAUUAUGGGCCCAGUUUUCAAGUUGGUCGAAAUCGGGGUCCAAAAUUAAACUUUGUUUGAUUUCAACAAAAAUUGAAUAUAUGGGGUUCUUUGAUAUGCUGAAUCUAACCAUGUAUUUAGAUUUUUGAUUUUUGGGCCCCUUUAUCAACUUUGUCCACAUUGAGGUCAAAAGGGUCCAAAAUUAAACUUUGUUUGAUUUCAUCAAAAAUUGAAUUGUUUGGGUUUUUUGAUAUGCUGAAUCUAACCAUGUAUUUAGAUUUUUUAUUUGUGGACCCCCUAUCAAAUUGGUUCAUAUUGAGGUCAAAAGGGUCCAAAAUUAAACUUUGUUUGAUUUCAUCAAAAAUUGAAUUAUUGGGGUUCUUUGAUAUGCCAAAUCUAACCGUGUAUUUAGAUUUUUAAUUUUGGGUCCCGUUUUUAAAUUGGUCUACAUUAAGGUCCAAAGGGUCCAAAAUUAAACUUAGUUUGAUUUUAACAAAAAUUUAAUUCUUGGGGUUCUUUGAUAUGCUGAAUCUAAACAUGUGUUUAGAUUUUUGAUUAUGGGCCCAGUUUUCAAGUUGGUCCAAGUUGGGGUCCAAAAUUAAACUUUGUUUGAUUUCAACAAAAAUUGAAUAUAUGGGGUUCUUUGAUAUGCUGAAUCUAAACAUGUAUUUAGAUUUUAGAUUUUUGGCCCAGUUUUCAAGUUGGUCCAAAUUGGGGUCCAAAAUUAAACUUUGUUUGAUUUCAACAAAAAUUGAAUAUAUGGGGUUCUUUGAUAUGCUGAAUCUUACCAUGUAUUUAGAUUUUUUAUUUGUGGGCCCGCUAUCAAAUUGGUUCACAUUGAGGUCAAAAGGGUCCAAAAUUAAACUUUGUUUGAUUUCAUCAAAAAUUUAAUUAUUGGGGUUCUUUGAUAUGCCAAAUCUAACCGUGUAUUUAGAUUUUUAAUUUUGGGUCCCGUUUUUUAAAUUGGUCUACAUUAAGGUCCAAAGGGUCCAAAAUUAAACUUAGUUUGAUUUUAACAAAAAUUGAAUUUUUGGGGUUCUUUGAUAUGCUGAAUCUAAACAUGUGUUUAGAUUUUUGAUUAUGGGCCCAGUUUUCAAGUUGGUCCAAGUUGGGGUCCAAAAUUAAACUUUGUUUGAUUUCAACAAAAAUUGAAUAUAUGGGGUUCUAUGAUAUGCUGAAUCUAAACAUGUAUUUAGAUUUUAGAUUUUUGGCCCAGUUUUCAAGUUGGUUCAAAUUGGGGUCCAAAAUAAAACUUUGUUUGAUUUCAACAAAAAUUGAAUAUAUGGGGUUCUUUGAUAUGCUGAAUCUUACCAUGUAUUUAGAUUUUUUAUUUUGUGGGCCCGCUAUCAAAUUGGUUCAUAUUGAGGUCAAAAGGGUCCAAAAUUAAACUUUGUUUGAUUUCAUCAAAAAUUGAAUUAUUGGGGUUCUUUGAUAUGCCAAAUCUAACCGUGUAUUUAGAUUUUUAAUUUUGGGUCCCGUUUUUUAAAUUGGUCUACAUUAAGGUCCAAAGGGUCCAAAAUUAAACUUAGUUUGAUUUUAACAAAAAUUGAAUUCUUGGGGUACUUUGAUAUGCUGAAUCUAAACAUGUGUUUAGAUUUUUGAUUAUGGGACCAGUUUUCAAGUUUGUCCAAGUUGGGGUCCAAAAUUAAACUUUGUUUGAUUUCAACAAAAAUUGAAUAUAUGGGGUUCUUUGAUAUGCUGAAUCUAACCAUGUAUUUUGAUUUUGGACAUUGGACCAUAAUAGGUAAAUUAAAAAAAUUGAAGUUCUUAGACCACAUUCUUUCUGUGUCAGAAACCUAUGCUGUGUCAAAUAUUUUAUCACAAUCCAAAUUCAGAGCUGUAUCAAGCUUGAAUGUUGUGUCCAUACUUGCCCCAACUGUUCAGGGUUCGACCUCUGCGGUCGUAUCAAGCUGCGCCCAGCGAAGCAUUUUAUUUAAAUUGGUCUACAUUAAGGUCCAAAGGGUCCAAAAUUUAACUUAGUUUGAUUUUAGCAAAAAUUGAAUUCUUGGGGUUCUUUGAUAUGCUGAAUCUAAACAUGUGUUUAGAUUUUUGAUUAUGGGCCAAGUUUUCAAGUUUGUCCAAGUUGGGGUCCAAAAUUAAACUUUGUUUGAUUUUAACAAAAAUUGAAUAUAUGGGGUUCUUUGAUAUGCUGAAUCUAACCAUGUAUUUUGAUUUUGGACAUUGGACCAUAAUAGGUAAAUUAAAAAAAUUCAAGUUCUUAGGCCACAUUCUUUCUGUGUCAGAAACCUAUGCUGUGUCAAAUAUUUAAUAACAAUCCAAAUUCAGAGCUGUAUCAAGCUUGAAUGUUGUGUCCAUACUUGCCCCAACUGUUCAGGGUUCGACCUCUGCGGUCGUAUCAAGCUGCGCCCCAGCGAAGCAUUUUAUUUAAA